AGAGUUUGAUCCUGGCUCAGGACGAACGCUGGCGGCGUGCUUAACACAUGCAAGUCGAACGAGAAUCUACUGAAAGAGUUUUCGGACAAUGGAUGUAGAGGAAAGUGGCGGACGGGUGAGUAACGCGUGAGGAACCUGCCUUGAAGAGGGGGACAACAGUUGGAAACGACUGCUAAUACCGCAUGAAGCAUAGGGGUCGCAUGAUUCUUAUGCCAAAGAUUUAUCGCUUCAAGAUGGCCUCGCGUCUGAUUAGCUGGUUGGCGGGGUAACGGCCCACCAAGGCGACGAUCAGUAGCCGGACUGAGAGGUUGAACGGCCACAUUGGGACUGAGAUACGGCCCAGACUCCUACGGGAGGCAGCAGUGGGGAAUAUUGGGCAAUGGGCGCAAGCCUGACCCAGCAACGCCGCGUGAAGGAAGAAGGCUUUCGGGUUGUAAACUUCUUUUGUCAGGGAAGAGUAGAAGACGGUACCUGACGAAUAAGCCACGGCUAACUACGUGCCAGCAGCCGCGGUAAUACGUAGGUGGCAAGCGUUGUCCGGAUUUACUGGGUGUAAAGGGCGUGCAGCCGGGUCUGCAAGUCAGAUGUGAAAUCCAUGGGCUCAACCCAUGAACUGCAUUUGAAACUGUAGAUCUUGAGUGUCGGAGGGGCAAUCGGAAUUCCUAGUGUAGCGGUGAAAUGCGUAGAUAUUAGGAGGAACACCAGUGGCGAAGGCGGAUUGCUGGACGAUAACUGACGGUGAGGCGCGAAAGUGUGGGGAGCAAACAGGAUUAGAUACCCUGGUAGUCCACACUGUAAACGAUGAAUACUAGGUGUGCGGGGACUGACCCCCUGCGUGCCGCAGUAAACACAAUAAGUAUUCCACCUGGGGAGUACGAUCGCAAGGUUGAAACUCAAAGGAAUUGACGGGGGCCCGCACAAGCGGUGGAUUAUGUGGUUUAAUUCGAAGCAACGCGAAGAACCUUACCAGGG
rnacentral:rRNA from 1 species